rnacentral:rRNA from 1 species
UUUCGCAAUGCCCGAAAGGGUGACGAAGCGACGCCGCGUGAGUGAGGAAGGCCUUCGGGUUGUAAAGCUCUGUCAGGAGUUAAGAAAUAUAAGUGUGUUAAUACCACAUUUAUUUGACGAAGGCUCCAAAGGAAGCCACGGCUAACUCUGUGCCAGCAGCCGCGGUAAUACAGAGGUGGCAAGCGUUGUUCGGAAUUAUUGGGCGUAAAGAGCACGUAGGUGGGUUUGUAAGUCAGAUGUGAAAGCCUUCUGUUCAACGGAAGAAUUGCAUCUGAAACUGCGAGUCUUGAGUGUAGGAGGGGAGAAUGGAACUUCUGGUGGAGCGGUGAAAUGCGUAGAUAUCAGAAGGAACGCCGGCGGCGAAAGCGACUCUCUGGCCUAUUACUGACACUCGGUGUGCGGAAGCUAGGGGAGCAAACGGGAUUAGAUACCCCGGUAGUCCUAGCUGUAAACGAUGGGCACUAAGUAGAGGGGUUUUA